UUUUUAAACUCAUCCCAAGUUCUAACAUUGCAAGUACCCUUUUCCAUGUCCAUCAUCCUCCUACGCCACCACACCAUGGCGCUCUCGGCCAGAAAUAGAGGAGCGUUGUCAACCUUGCGCGAGUCUUCUUCCACACCAAGAGCACGGAAAUAUUGUUCAAGGGCCCAUAAAAAGUUAUCUAUUUCACGGGCAUUUCUUGAUCCUUUGAACACGUUCGGUUUGGGUACAUCAACCCUUGCCGUUGGAUUUGUGAGAGUAAAGCUGGUUCCAUUCCCUUGGGCUACCAACCUUUUAAGCAACACCAAUUCGUCCUUCACUUCGACACUCAACUUCCUUACUUCUUCCUUCAACAAGUGGUUUUCUUCUUUAAGGGCAGAAAGUUCCUCGGCAUGUGCAAAUUUCAGGGCCUCAUUCUCACUAGCCAUUCUCUCAAGGGCAUCACUGAAGGCAGCUUGAAGUUCACUUCGGGCCUCCUCCAUCCCGUCUCCAAGUUGCAUCAGCCGGUUCUCAAUAUCUUCAAACCUGUCGUCCCCAUUGACUAGGUGGCGUUCCACUUUGGCCAGCCUCACUUCCACGUCUCCCAACUCUUCUCUUGCACGUGAGAGAUCCCUAGGCCUGGCCUGGCCCUUUUUCCUGCCUCUAGCCGGUUGUUCUUCCCUUACCGAAGUAGCACCACAUUGUUCUUGGUCACUUGAGUCGGCCAUUCUCCCGAGCACUCCAACAAUGUGCUCUGAUACCAACUGUCACGG
rnacentral:misc_RNA from 1 species